ACUCCUUCUCCUUCCUCCAGCUAAUUUUCGCUCCUCCUCCACGAUCUGCUUGUCCCCCACCUGUUCCGGUUACGCGCAUCGAUAUUUGCUCGAUUUUUCUGGCGCCUGGGGGCGGGGCUUUCGUUCGCGGUUGCACAGCUGCCUGCUCCGCCGGAUCUCGCCGCGAUCGGAACGCGGGCACGGUUUGGGUCACGGAGGCUGUUCACCGGACAGGACUGUCCUGCGCCAAAAUUCCGGGCAUGCCGUGCCUGCCCAGUAUGCACUAGGCUCAGUAGGUCGAUGUAAGGAGGUAGGUACUAUAACUGAACUGUUUUUGUUUUUGCAUCUGGAAUUCAGGUUCAGUAAGUUUUUUUUAAAUGAUCUGGUUAUGGAUGUCCUUUUUGUUUAAUUGACGACGGGUAGAUGAGUAAUUCUUUAUGAAUCAUUUAAGUUGUGGAGUGCAUAGUUGAUGUGAAUAGUGUUCAGUAAAUCCUGGACGGUGAGUACUCUCCAAAGUUAGGGCA